UUAGCCUUAAACACGAGGCUAUUCAACCCAGCUCGAAAAUAAGCUGCGGCUGGGAACAAAAAAUGGCGACUGAUUUACGCGGCAAUGGUGGUAGCAAUUGCAAGUACAAGUGCGACACCGCUGCCAAUACUCUGCAAUGGAUAAAGGCCAUCGCUGAUUUUAUUAAACCUUAUUCCUUCUUGAUCAAUGCUCCCGUCGUCAAUUUCUUCAAGGAUAGACUAUGGGAAGCCGUUGAUGAGGAAUGGAUGGAGUGCUUGCGCAAGGAACCAGUGGAAAAUCUGCUCCUAAUUCCGUCUGGAGUUGUCCAGGAAAACUGGCCAGAAUCACUAAAGAAAUUUAUCCGUACUUCAAAAUCUCUUGCCUUUCAACGCGAACAAGCAGACUUGCAGAUGGUUCUGCCUGGCUGGUGCAUGGCUUCGCUUAACACUGUUCUUUCUCAAGGCAUGAAUCAGAAGAAAAAACAUGAAGUUGAAGUCCUUUCCGCCAUUAUUAGUUUAAUUGCAAGUGACCUGGAAAGUAGUGCAAUUGUUGAUGUUGGUGCUGGUCAGGGUUACUUAGCACAAGUGCUCUCCUUCCAUUACAAGCAUUCAGUUCUUGCAAUUGAUGCCUGUUCCCAUCAUGGAAAUGUGACAAGUGCACGUUCAGCACGGAUUAAGAAGUAUUACUUAGCUCAAAUUCGUAAAGCUGGUUUUUACAGGUUGGAAGCCGAAAAUUUGAGACUGCCAAAGGCAAUGACAUUCCAUGUGUUGUCCGUUGAUGCAUUAAAAUCCCUUGCUAACAUGUCAUUAGAAGACGAUCAUGUUGAGAAGCCAAGUACGACUGGUGAUGAUCAAAAGAAAAUCAACCAACAGGAGUCAAAGUGUUUGACUUUGUGCAAUUCAGACCAAGAGCCUUCAUUGGUUCUUGCUGGUCUUCAUGCAUGUGGUGAUCUUUCGGUGAUAAUGCUUAGGACUUUUGUAGAGUGCAAGGAAGUAAAAGCAGUAAUUAAUAUUGGUUGCUGUUACAACCUUCUCACGGAGUAUGGAUCUAACAAUAAAGGUAUCCAAAAUGGAUUUCCUAUGAGCUUCGGUGUCAAAUCUUCUAGCUUGUCUCUGGGGAAAAGUGGCAGAGACCUUGCAUGUCAGAAAGAUGGAGGAAUUUGGAAAAAGAAGGUGGCCUCCACAAUUUUGAGUUGCAUGCUUUCCGUGCUGCUUUCCAAAUGGUACUCUAUAAAUAUUAUCCAGACGUGGUUGCAACUUGCCCAUCCAUUGGGCGUCAAGGAAAGGCAUUGCGCCGUCAAAAGAAAAGGGAGGGUUCAGUAUCCUCGCAGUGUCGUGAAGAUAAGCUUGAGGCAUCACAAUCAGUAUGUUGCAGAUCUUAUUGGGGGGUUUCAAGUCAAUGCCAACGCUUUUUCUCAUACCAUUUCAGACCAUGGGAGUACGCCAUGUGAACAGUCCAAAUCUGUUGACAAAUACCCUCUUUUUGAAAAGUUUUGUCACUCUGGAUUAAUUCGCCUUGGACUCCAAUCUUCACAGGACACGGAUUGUUAUGGAAUCUGGACGGACACUGAGCCUUUUACUGAACUUAUUGGGCCUUAUUGGUCUCUUCGAGCUGCUCUGGGCCCAGUAUUGGAAACAUGUAUUCUGCUUGACAGAUUACUGUUUCUCCAAGAGCAAGGUGGAUCCCUUGAAGCCAUAUUGCUACCUGUUUUUGACCCGGAUUUAUCUCCAAGGAAUGUGGCUAUAAUCGCUAGGAAAGUUGGUACAACAUAAGAUUUAUUGGAGGAAAGGAUAUAAUGGUUCUGGAUUAAUGUAAAGCUGGAGUGCUGAGGAUGAAAUAUUUGAUUCUUCGAAUUCCGCAGAACUCAUGGAUUCCCUUUGCCCACAUGUGCCAAACAGGAACGAACGGUGAUGAAGAGCAGAGAAAAUCAAACGUCUGCAUGAAGUUGACACCACGAUGAAAAUAAACAAAUGGAACUGCAAUUCAGAUAUGGGUAGUGGACAUUUCAGAAACUGCUGCUCUUUGUCCUUUUUGAUGGAUCAAUGAAAAGGUUGCUAUCAAUAAAAAGGUACGUCUUUCUCUGAGUAAAACAGGAAGAUGGUACACUUCGAAAUGGUUAGUGAACUUCUUACAAAUGAACUUGUCAAAAAGGGUUGGGUUAGUUUAUUAUUUGGGAGGAAUCUUUUUUUAGCUUUUGGGAAAGUUUUGAGUAUAUCUAUAAGGAAUAAUGUAUUCAAAGGUUUGAAUACAUUUGGAUAAUGGGAUGGGAUGGAUGGUGAUGUCUCUACCUCUGUCUCUGUCAUAAUCAAAAUUAUUAAACAUUGGAUUGGGAAGGGCUGCAAUGUCGAUUGAGUUUUAGAUAGGGUUGGAUUUUUUUUUUUUGAAAAAAAAUAAUGAUUCAAAGGAUGGUUUUAGUCAUGGUAGCCACCUUCCUAGAAUUCAAUUAUCCACUAGUUAUUGUGACAAACAAGAGUCAAAAUUGUGCCCAAGUUAAUCAGUCGCCUACAUGGCACGAGAGAUUAACUUAUAGUCUUCGAAAGUGGUUAUCAUUAUAUUUGAGUUUGUUCAAACACAUGGACAAUGCAACAGAUUUGAACUUAUAACCUUGGAAAGUAGUUAUGUUAGGUUGAGUAUAUAUAUGAGUUUGUUUGUUCGGUUUUUUUUAUAACAUUUGACGGUUAAGAGUAGAACACAUUUUUAUUGUCUAUAGUUGAUCAAUUAAGUUAUUUUUUUCAAAUUCUUUUCAAAUUUGAAGCUAAAAUUCUCAAUCUUUUCUUCUAAAAGAAAUUAAUAAAAAAAAUUAUCAAUUUUGUUGUAUGAAAAACAUGUUUUUUUUCACAGCUUUUAAAUUAUGAAGUAUUUUCCACUCUUUUUCUUAGGUAUAUACGAAAAAUUGUGACUAAGGUUUUUCUUUUAACAUCACCGGUACUACUAGGAAAUUGGUGGCGGAAAAACAAUUUUUUCUUCCAUAGGAUUAAAAUAAAAUAAGAUACAAAAAACUUUUUUUGAUGAAGGAAUUCAAGAGCUUGAAUGCUUUCAUUUUUAGAAAGAAGACUACAAAAUCAUGAUAAUGCUAAAUUCUUUUGAAAUGUCUUCAUUCAAUUUGCAUAAUUUGGUUUGUUGAACAGACAACUAGCUUAAUAAAGAACUCUAGAUUUUAGCAAAUUUCUUGUAUUUGAAGGGAUUUGAAAUUUAUGGUAUUCCCACUUUGGGAUAAAUUUCCAUAUCUUCCUAUCAAUUGAAUUUUCUACCCAUCUUUUAAUAGUCAUCUCUUCAUUUCUUCCUCAAAUAUACCCUCAUAGGAUAUAAAAACAACCUGAAUAAUGCGACGAUCCAUUCGAACCAUAUUAUAAGAGUUGAGUUGAGUUGAGUUAGUUUAAAAUGUGGGUUGAGUUGGGUAUGAAAAUUUGGUCUUUUUAGGGUUGGGUUGGGUCUCGGGUUGAACCAAAAUUUUCAAUCCAACAUAACCCAAAUUAAUGGUACAUACAUUUUAUUAUUAAUUGAAGAAAAUUGGAUAAAAAAAGGUUGGUUGAUAUUUAAGGAUGACAGUCCGACAACCCAACCCAAUCGGUAUUUUAAGGGUUUGGGUUAAGAAUACUAUUCGGGUUGCCAACGAACCAACCCGAAAAUAUGGGUUCACAACCCAACUUGUUUACAUCCCUAUUUAUAAUUGAAGCUGUAUAUUGAUCAGUUAUCUUAAGCUUUUCAAUUUUUAUUCAAUAAAUUUACACUCUCAGUUA